rnacentral:rRNA from 1 species
CACGUAGGGGGCAAGCGUUGUCCGGAUUUAUUGGGCGUAAAGAGCUCGUAGGCGGCUCGGUAAGUCGGGUGUGAAAUUUCGAGGCUCAACCUCGAAACGCCACCCGAUACUGCUGUGGCUAGAGUCCGGUAGGGGAGCGUGGAAUUCCUGGUGUAGCGGUGAAAUGCGCAGAUAUCAGGAGGAACACCGAUGGCGAAGGCAGUUCUCUGGGCCGUAACUGACGCUGAGGAGCGAAAGCGUGGGGAGCGAACAGG